CAGCCGCCGCGGUAAUACGGAGGAUCCGAGCGUUAUCCGGAAUUAUUGGGUUUAAAGGGUGCGUAGGCGGAUAGAUAAGUCAGUGGUGAAAGACGGUGGCUCAACCAUCGCAGUGCCGUUGAUACUGUUUAUCUUGAAUAUGGAUGAGGUAGGCGGAAUGUGGCAAGUAGCGGUGAAAUGCAUAGAUAUGCCACAGAACACCGAUUGCGAAGGCAGCUUACCAAGGCAAAAUUGACGCUGAGGCACGAAAGCGUGGGGAUCGAACAGGAUUAGAUACCCCUGUAGUCCCUGUCUCUUAGAC
rnacentral:rRNA from 1 species